CAAUAGCGUAUAUUAAAGUUGUUGCAGUUAAAAAGCUCGUAGUUGGAUUUGUGGCGUACGGUGUGUUCCGGGCACUUGUUGUCUGAGUAACCUGCUGUUGCCAUCCUUGGGUGGAACCUGUGUGGCAUUAGGUUGUCGUGCAGGGGAUGCCCAUCAUUUACUGUGAAAAAAUUAGAGUGUUCAAAGCAGGCUUAUGCCGUUGAAUAUAUUAGCAUGGAAUAAUGAGAUAGGACUUUUUUGCUAUUUUGUUGGUUUGCGCAAAGAGGUAAUGAUUAAUAGGGACAGUUGGGGGUAUUCGUAUUCCAUUGUCAGAGGUGAAAUUCUUGGAUUUUUGGAAGACGAACUACUGCAAAAGCAUUUACCAAGGAUGUUUUCAUUA
rnacentral:rRNA from 1 species